AUUCUCAACAGUUGUAGUUUCCCUUUUAUGACGUUGGAAAACUGAAAUUGGCUUGAGUCUGACCUUCUGGAGACACCUUGUGUAGAUGACUCAAGCCGACUGCCCCCCACACGACCCAACCCGUCAUAGGGAAACUGAGGUUUGGAAAGAGAAAGCGCCUACUCAUGGUUAUGGCUGAUGACGACAGCUCUCCAGGAAUCCUCCAGGCCUUUGCUGACAGAGACGGCUGAGAGAGCCAGCCUUGGACCAAGGCAGGCACUGGAGUGGACCUUGGAUGUCGAUUCUGUCUCCCACAAUGCUCCAGCAAUCCCGAGAGGAAAAACAGCGAUGAUCUUCAGGGAAGCAGUAGAGCGCGCUCAGAGCUCGGUGGACUUGUGGGAGCCUGAAGAAAUCAGAGCUCUCGGAUUCUUGGCCUCUCCAGUGUGAGGCAGCCGUGGCUGGACAACCUGGACCACACCCUAAGCCACUCUAGUAAACCCCCCUUUAAUAUCUCUGUAGUCUAUUUGGUUUUCUGUUCUUUUAGGGAACCUUGAGAUUCUUAAAGAACAAACGGACAUUGAGCACAGGUGAUGAGGAAACUGGGGGCGUUGCCGAGGGGGUGGGGCCCUGGCUGGGGAGGAAGGGAAGUAAGCCUGGGGUAUAGAGGAAGUAGAGGGCGCAUGGCUCAAGGUCCUUCCUCCUUGGAUUUGUACCAUUUCCUUCUCUAAUCUAGAUUAAAGCCACUGGCUUCCCCUAAUG